AUUGAACGCUGGCGGCGUGCUUAACACAUGCAAGUCGAGCGGCAGCGCGGGAGCAAUCCUGGCGGCGAGCGGCGAACGGGUGAGUAAUGCUUCGGAAUCUGCCCUUCAGUGGGGAAUAACCAGUCGAAAGACUGGCUAAUACCGCAUACGAACUGAGGUUGAAAGCAGGGGAUCGCAAGACCUUGCGCUGAUGGAUGAGCCGAAGUCGGAUUAGCUUGUUGGUGGGGUAAAGGCCUACCAAGGCGACGAUCAGUAGCUGGUCUGAGAGGAUGAUCAGCCACACUGGGACUGAGACACGGCCCAGACUCCUACGGGAGGCAGCAGUGGGGAAUAUUGGACAAUGGGCGGCAAGCCUGAUCCAGCCAUGCCGCGUGAGUGAUGAAGGCCUUAGGGUUGUAAAGCUCUUUCACCCGGGACGAUAAUGACGGUACCGGGACGAAGAAGACUGCGGCUAACUACGUGCCAGCAGC
rnacentral:rRNA from 1 species